rnacentral:rRNA from 1 species
AAUGAACGCUGGCGGCAGGCUUAACACAUGCAAGUCGAGCGCGAACGCACCUUCGGGUGUUAUUAGAGCGGCAAACGGGUGAGUAACACGUGGGAAUCUACCCUUCGGUAAGGGAUAGCCAUUGGAAACGAUGAUUAAUACCUUAUACGGACUACGGUCGAAAGAUUUAUCGCCGAAGGAUGAGCCCGCGUUAGAUUAGCUAGUUGGUAAGGUAAUGGCUUACCAAGGCUACGAUCUAUAGCUGGUCUGAGAGGAUGAUCAGCCACACUGGGACUGAGAUACGGCCCAGACUCCUACGGGAGGCAGCAGUGAGGAAUAUUGGACAAUGGAGGAAACUCUGAUCCAGCCAUGCCGCGUGUGUGAUGAAGGCCUUAGGGUUGUAAAACACUUUCAGUGGGGAAGAUAAUGACGGUACCCACAGAAGAAGCUCCGGCUAACUCCG